UACGUAGGGUGCGAGCGUUUAAUCGGAAUUACUGGGCGUAAAGCGUGCGCAGGCUGUUUUGUAAGUCAGAUGUGAAAUCCCCGAGCUCAACUUGGGAACUGCGUUUGAAACUACAAGACUAGAAUAUGUCAGAGGGGGGUAGAAUUCCACGUGUAGCAGUGAAAUGCGUGAGAGAUGUGGAGGAACACCGGAUGGCGCAAGGC
rnacentral:rRNA from 1 species